UUUGAGCAUUUGCGUCGAUAACUUUUUUUUUUUUACAAUAUUUUCACAACAAAAUCUUAUAUGGUAAGUUGUUACUAGUUCUAAUUUAGGGAAAAAUGCUCAUACACCCCCUAAACUUUGGAUCAGUAGCUAAAACACCCCCUGUACUUUUUUAUUAGCCAAUUUACUCCUUAAACUAUACACACUUGCCAAAUUAAUUCUUUAGUUAGUUCCACGUUAAAACACUAACGGAAUAGGAUGUGAAGUUUAAAAACUAAUUAAUUCACACGAUGGAAAUAAGAGAGGAAAGACCUUGGUCUGACCGGCAAAGAAGAGAGAGAAAGAGGCGGUAGAACUAGAGCCACCGUGGAGCGGCGCUGAGUUCUUCAUCCGGCGAUUGUCUCGCUCCCCGUAGGCCGUAUCUUCAGGCCCUGGUACGUGCAAGUUUCUAUCGGGGUUGAGUCCAGGAUCCAAAUAAUCACAAAUCCUUUCAAGCAAUGAAUAGGAUGUAAGGGAUCAAAAAUGUGUUACAAGUUGUAAGUUGCAACCUUGACAUCCGAUUGGAAAUGUAAGACAUCAAUAUACUCUAAAAUAAUUGGAGUUGCAAAGAAAGAUGGAAAAGACCUGGGACUUGAGGAGAAAUGCCAACCAAUGUGUACUCAAAAUUGUAUCUUGCUUAGUUAAGCGUUCAAUGUCAAUGAUGUAACAAUUAUGUGAUGAUAAUUAAGUGUUAAAAUGUAUUAUGAGAGGUGCAAGGAUAUGUAAUAGUUUUCAUAUAUGUAAUGACUAGUUGUUUGUAAUAUAAUUAUGUUUAUAUAUAUAUUAAACUAACUGAAAUUUGCAUAUGAAUUGAAGGAUAUGCAAUGCGGACCUUGUUUGUGAUCAUUUGUCCACAAACUAUUUCGUU